rnacentral:misc_RNA from 1 species
GAUGAAGAAGCAGCGAAAUGCGAUAAGUAGUGUGAAUUGCAGAAUUCAGUGAAUCAUCGAAUCUUUGAACGCACAUUGCGCCCUUUGGUAUUCCUUAGGGCAUGCCUGUUCGAGCGUCAUUUAAACCUUCAAGCUAAGCUUGGUGUUGGGUGACUGUCCGCUUCACUGCGGACUCGCCUCAAAAUUAUUGGCGGCCGGUACAUUGGCUUCGAGCGCAGCAGAAACGCGAACUCGGGCCCGUCGUAUUGGCUCCCAGAAGCUAUCUUCACAAUUUUGACCUCGGAUCAGGUAGGGAUACCCGCUGAACUUAAGCAUAUCAAUAAGCGGAGGA